GCGGUCGAAAAUCCCUCCGGUGCGGCGGCGGGUGGCGGCGGCCGGCUUCUGGUUCGUCUUCUCCGGCGAGGGCAGGCGACUAGGGUUUGGGGUCUGGUGUGGGGGUCGUAUUUAUACCCUUUUGCCUUUUGAUCUCAGCCGUCCAUUUUGAUUUAAUCUGGGUCGUCCGUUUUUGAUUAAAUCUGGGCCGUCCGUGCGAUUAAAUCUUGACCGUCCGUUUUUGAUUAAAUCUGGGCCGUCCGUGCGAUUAAAUCUGGGCCGUCCGUGCGCGCGAUUGAUCUGGGCCGUCCGAUCGCGCGCACGCGGAUCGCCAACGUGGCCCGUCCCCGGUCGACGUGGUUUUACCACGUGGCAUGUCCUGGUUGGCCAGGACUGCUGACUGGGUCUGCUGACGUGGCACGCGCGGUUUUUUUUUUUUUUUUUUUCAAUU
rnacentral:lncRNA from 1 species